AAGCCUUCCGCCAGGGCCACCGCCUGGGAACUGGUCUCUGCUCCACACUCCCGCACCCAGCCCUCCAUCUCUGGGGGAAGAAGGAACAGGAGAUGCUCCAGAACCACCAGGUCCAACAUCUGGGCUUUGCUGUGCUUUCCUGGGCUCAGCCAUCGCCUGCACAAGUCAUGGAGUCGGCUGCAAAGUCCUCGGGGACCCUCAGCCUCCCGGUAUUGGAUGGAGGUCCAGGGUGGAACUUCUGAAGGGAGGAUGAUUCCCUCCUGCAGGAUCUUCUGCCAGGUUCUGGUCCAGCUCUCCUCACAGCUUUGAGGCCGUAG